UACGAAAGGGGCUAGCGUUUUUCGGAAUUACUGGGCGUAAAGCGCACGUAGGCGGCACUGUGAGUUGGGGGUGAAAUCCCGGAGCCCAACUCCGGAACUGCCUUCAAGACUGCAGAGCUGGAGGAUGCGAGAGGUGAGUGGAAUUCCGAGUGUAGAGGUGAAAUUCGUAGAUAUUCGGAAGAACACCAGUGGCGAAGGCGGCUCACUGGCGCAUUUCUGACGCUGAGGUGCGAAAGCGUGGGGAGCAAACAGC
rnacentral:rRNA from 1 species